rnacentral:rRNA from 1 species
CAGCAGCCGCGGGAAUACGAAGGGUGCAAGCGUUAAUCGGAAUUACUGGGCGUAAAGCGUGCGUAGGCGGUUUGUUAAGUCUGUUGUGAAAUUCCCGGGCUCAACCUGGGAAUGGCGCUUGUGACUGCAAGGCUAGAGUGCGUCAGAGGGGGGUAGAAUUCCACGUGUAGCAGUGAAAUGCGUAGAGAUGUGGAGGAAUACCGAUGGCGAAGGCAGCCCCCUGGGACGAGACUGACGCUCAUGCACGAAAGCGUGGGGAGCAAACAGGAUUAGAUACCCCAGUAGUCCCUGUCUCUUAUAA